rnacentral:misc_RNA from 1 species
AAGUCGUAACAAGGUUUCCGUAGGUGAACCUGCGGAAGGAUCAUUAACACGUUAUCCACGUAUCAACCAACGAGAACCCGUUUUCGACCCUCUCUUCCUGAGAAUGAAUUGGAGCUUGCUUAGAGUUAUUGAAUGGGAUGCUUGCGUCAGACUCUACUCGCCACUUGCUAAAGCGUCGAAAGAUGCCAGGCAGACAAUUGGAUCUCUGUGAAGACUCUCCUCUCACCGUUCGGGUCUCCAUUCAUUGACUUUUUCGGUGGGAACUCAUAUUAACCCAUUUCACCCCUUUUUUUGCUAGUUGACUUUUAUAUGUUGUUCGAUGUCUGCCUCGGCAGUGCAACGAGCACACGUUUAAUUAUUUGAACGUUAAAAAUACAACUCUUAGCAAUGGAUAUCUAGGUUCUC